rnacentral:rRNA from 1 species
UACGUAGGGUGCAAGCGUUGUCCGGAAUUAUUGGGCGUAAAGAGCUCGUAGGCGGUGUGUCGCGUCGGCCGUGAAAACCUGCAGCUUAACUGUGGGCGUGCGGUCGAUACGGGCAUCACUGGAGUUCGGCAGGGGAGACUGGAAUUCCUGGUGUAGCGGUGAAAUGCGCAGAUAUCAGGAGGAACGCCGGUGGCGAAGGCGGGUCUCUGGGCCGAUACUGACGCUGAGGAGCGAAAGCAUGGGGAGCGAACAGG